rnacentral:rRNA from 1 species
GACGAACGCUGGCGGCGUGCUUAACACAUGCAAGUCGAACGGAAAGGCCCUGCUUUUGUGGGGUGCUCGAGUGGCGAACGGGUGAGUAACACGUGAGUAACCUGCCCUUGACUUUGGGGUAACGUCAGGAAACUGGGGCUAAUACCGGAUAGGAGCUCCUGCUGCAUGGUGGGGGUUGGAAAGUUUCGGCGGUUGGGGAUGGACUCGCGGCUUAUCAGCUUGUUGGUGGGGUAGUGGCUUACCAAGGCUUUGACGGAUAGCCGGCCUGGGAGGGUGACCGGCCACAUUGGGACUGAGAUACGGCGCAGAGUCCUACGGGAGGCAGCAGUGGGGAAUAUUGCACAAUGGGCGGAAGCCUGAGGCAGCAGCGCCGCGUGCGGGAUGACGGCCUUCGGGUUGUAAACCGCUUUCGCCUGUGACGAAGCGUGAGUGACGGUAAUGGGUAAAGAAGCACCGGCUAACUACGUG